rnacentral:lncRNA from 1 species
GAACAUUUAGCCUCCCCCAAGACUCCAUCUUCAGGCCUCCUUCCCUCACCAUCUCCAAGGCUGCGGCUCCAGGACACAAGCUGACCACCCUGCCCAACCCGAAGUCCUCGACUGAUGCUCAGCGCUUAUAGGUUCAAGUCCAGGCUCCCUAGCAUAGCACUGAAGUCAUGGCUCAGUUUACCCUUCCAAGCCUGUCUCCCCCAAGUCCUGCCCUCCUCCUCUCAUCACUGCCAAGUACAUCAAGCACUCCCACGUGGCUGGGCUUUAACCCAAGCUGCUCUCUCUUCCCAGAAGGCUCUUCUCUGACUUGCUGCCAAAACACAAAGUCGCUUGGAGGUGAAGGCAAAUAUUAGUUCAGCUGGCAAGCUCCUCUCCACGUCCUCAUCAAAGCCCCCAGCUCCAUGAGCUUCUGGGCUGUUCCUGUGGAUUUCUGCACUCUCUGUGUUGAAACAUCUGUAAUGGGUUAUAGCUGGGAGUUGGAAUGUCUGCCUCCCUUUUCGCUGAGAAGAAGGGGGUCUUUACAGGAUCGAACGCUCCCUGGGUUCUGUCUCCUUCCUUUCAAUAUAGUGAGCAGUUCCUCCCACCUAGUGGGUUCUCCUUAGAUGUCUGGGAGGUCAUCUAUCCAGUGCUGGCUGUUGCAGAUCUGUGCAGUUGCUUUUUGAACAGGACCCACAUCCGUCUUCCAAAAUAUCUAAAAUUAGGUCUUUGACAGUUCCUGAAAAUGUUAGUUAUCAUAUAAUCCAGCAACUCCACUCCAAGGUAUAUAGCCAAAAGAAUUGAAAUCAUAUUCCACACAAAAAUGUAUACCUGAAUGCUCAUAGCAGCAUUAUUCACAAUAGCCAAGAAAUGGAAACCACCCAAAUGUCCAUCAACCCACAAAGGCAUAAGUGAACUGUGA